rfam:Gossypium hirsutum cultivar TM-1 chromosome 5, whole genome shotgun sequence
GAAGUAUGACAAAUCAUAUUUUUCCUCCUAACUUUGAGCUUUUUCCUCAUGAAAAAAUUCAAAUCUAAAUAAAAAUACUAAAUAUCAGGAGAAAAAAUCUGAUUUGUCAUACUC